ACAGGGAUUGCCCUAGUAACGGCGAGUGAAGCGGCAACAGCUCAAAUUUGAAAUCUGGCGUCUUCGGCGUCCGAGUUGUAAUUUGCAGAGGGCGCUUUGGCAUUGGCAGCGGUCCAAGUUCCUUGGAACAGGACGUCACAGAGGGUGAGAAUCCCGUACGUGGUCGCUAGCCUUUACCGUGUAAAGCCCCUUCGACGAGUCGAGUUGUUUGGGAAUGCAGCUCUAAAUGGGAGGUAAAUUUCUUCUAAAGCUAAAUACUGGCCAGAGACCGAUAGCGCACAAGUAGAGUGAUCGAAAGAUGAAAAGCACUUUGGAAAGAGAGUUAAAAAGCACGUGAAAUUGUUGAAAGGGAAGCGCUUGCAGCCAGACUUGCCUGUAGUUGCUCAUCCGGGUUUUUACCCGGUGCACUCUUCUAUAGGCAGGCCAGCAUCAGUUUGGGCGGUUGGAUAAAGGUCUCUGUCAUGUACCUCCUUUCGGGGAGAACUUAUAGGGGAGACGACAUGCAACCAGCCUGGACUGAGGUCCGCGCAUCUGCUAGGAUGCUGGCGUAAUGGCUGUAAGCGGCCCGUCUUGAAACACGGACCAAGGAGUCUAACAUCUAUGCGAGUGUUUGGGUGUCAAGCCCGAACGCGUAAUGAAAGUGAACGGAGGUGGGAACCUUUCGGGGUGCACCAUCGACCGAUCCUGAUGUCUUCGGAUGGAUUUGAGUAAGAGCAUAGCUGUUGGGACCCGAAAGAUGGUGAACUAUGCUUGAAUAGGGUGAAGCCAGAGGAAACUCUGGUGGAGGCUCGCAGCGGUUCUGACGUGCAAAUCGAUCGUCAAAUUUGGGCAUAGGGGCGAAAGACUAAUCGAACUAUCUAGUAGCUGGUUCCUGCCGAAGUUUCCCUCAGGAUAGCAGUAACGUUUUCAGUUUUAUGAGGUAAAGCGAAUGAUUAGAGGCCUGGGGGUUGAAACAACCUU
rnacentral:rRNA from 1 species